rnacentral:lncRNA from 1 species
GAGAGUUGUAACGCCCUGUUUAUUUAAAUAAAUUAAUAAGUGUAAGUACUGGACUAAUUUGUAAAGAAUUUAAAAGUUGGAGGUUAAAAGUAUAAAAUCUGGAUUUAAUAUGUAAGUAUUAUGGAAGUGUAACACCGUGAUUUCCAAAAACAAAAUUUUCAUUUAAAUAAUCAAUUUAAUAUUAAAACACUUGUUUAAAAUCUUAUUCACAUUCGAAUUACAAAACAUAGUUUCUUUUUCGUUAUAAUAGAAGACCAGGAUCCUCCAAAACACAACUCUUUCUUCGGUGUGUACAAUCGAACCGUUGCCAUCCCGCGUUACUGUAAGAACCUGAAACAACAUAACAUAAACAACGUAAGCACGAAGCUUAGUGAGUUCCCCAAUAUACCUUACGCACAUACGCCUUCCGGCCCGGAUCUUUCGAUCCACAUAAUUUUGCCUUCCGGCCCGGAUCUUUCGAUCCACAUAACAUCGCCUUCCGGCCCGGAUCUUUCGAUCCACAUAACAUCGCCUUCCGGCCCGGAUCUUUCGAUCCACAUAACAUUGCCUUCCGGCCCGGAUCUUUCGAUCCACAUAACAUCGCCUUCCGGCCCGGAUCUUUCGAUCCACAUAACAUUGCCUUCCGGCCCGGAUCUUUCGAUCCACAUAACAUCGCCUUCCGGCCCGGAUCUUUCGAUCCACAUAACAUUGCCUUCCGGCCCGGACCUUUCGGUCCACAAGAUAAUUGCCUUCCGGCCCGUACACAUAUAUAACACAUAAUACAAGUACUCUAACACAUAAAGCACAUACACCACAUAUCAUACCUGACCUUUCUGUCACAUAAUACUUUGCCUUCCGGCCCAUAUAUAAGCAUGUAUAUCACGCGUAGCAGCUAACUUUCCAUUUAUAGCAUAUAACAUAACACAUAACAUACUUGACCUUCCGGUCACACAAUCAAACCCUUCCGGGUGAGGUAUAGUGAGAAGACUCACCUCGCGGACACUGGAAGAUAGCAACUCCUAAAAUCCCUUGCACUUGAUCCUCCGAGCUACAAGCUCCCUGUAACAUCAUAUAUCCCUUAUUUAAUACUUCUAUCUUCCACGUUAACUGACCCUAAGAAUCACACCAGUCAACUCUGGUCAACAGUCCAAUGUCAGCUCGACUGGACUCGGCGAGUUCCCUGGCGACUCGGCGAGUCUGGUCGUCCUUCAAUCCUCUGAGAUUCCCCUUCUACUCGUCGAGUAUCCUCUUUGACUCGACGAGUCACUCCUGGAAGAAUCGCGGGGCCACCCCGACUCCACUCGCCGAGUCUGAAGAACAACUCGGCGAGUCCCAGUGAAUCUUCAAGCUACUCGCCGAGUCUGAUCAUCCGACUCGGCGAGUCCACGCCAUGCAGUCGAUCCAACUGCUUCCUGAGAUACGUUUUUCCCGAGAUACACACUCAUGGGACUUCUGGACCUCUAAUCAUCCUAUUACUAGGGUAGAAACCUUUGUAUAACAACAUAAUAAUCCAUCAAAUCUCCAAAUGGGUUUCAUAAACCCUAAAUUCGUGUACACAUCAAAAUAACAGGAAUGAUCCGAAACCUUACCUGAAAACAUACUCUCUGUGUCCCCAAACCUCAGAACUCGACCCCCUUGCUCUUCCUUUGGCCAAAAUCCUUCCUCUUCUUGCACCACAAUUCCUUCAAAGUCAAUAAUGGCCUUCAAGUUUUGCUCCAGAUGCCACAGUCGUCUAGGGUUCUCCACAAUCGGCCAAAAGACGUGAAAUGACGACAAAACAACCCUUAAAUACGACCCAAUACGAAACGGCUAGGGUUUCUGCUGAACAGCGUCGACUCGCCGAGUCCAUACCUGGACUCGUCGAGUCCAGUCGCGAACCCGCGACCAAAUCUGCGACCCUACUCGGCGAGUCUGGCUCCAACUCGCCGAGUCUCCCCUUUAAAACACCCCAAAAUGCAAUUUAACAAUACUUGAGAUUUUGGGCUGUUACAAUUCUCCCCCACUAGAAUUAGACUUCGCCCUCGAAGUCUCACUCUGAAAAUAGUUCUGGAUGCUGCUCCCGCAUCACACGUUUCGGCUUCCCUAAACACUUCCGAUAUCUUCCGAGGCCGCUACUGAACCAAUACCAGAGGUACCUCCUUGUUCCUCAGAACCUUGAUCUUCCGAUCUCCGACGGCCACUGGCCUCUCGACGUAACACAGGCUCGCAUCCACCUAAUCGUUCUCUAGUAGAACCACUGCUGACUCAUCCGCUAUACACCUCUUCAACUGCGACACAUACCAGUGUCAUGGAUCCGUCCCAAUUCCGUUGACAGCUCCAAACGAUAGGCCACCCUUCCUACCUUCGCACCUUCACGAAAAGACCCAACAUACCGGGGCCCCCCAUUUACCCCUCUUCCUAAAUCGAAGCACCCCGUCAGAAAUACGAAGUCGCUGACCUGAAUCACAUGCUCGUAACGGCGUCUGCCUGCAUAACUUUCCUGUUAACUCUAGACGAUCACUAACUCUCUUUAACCUGCUGAGUCUGCUUUGUCAACUAAAGUACGAACUCUGAACUGCUCAUCACUCUCUGUAAUCGGAAAUUACCCAAGAUGCACUCUGCUCCAAAUCUCAACGAUCACUCAACCCAUAAGGGUUAGGAAACCCUGAACCACCGGAUCCCCGAUCCAAAGCCCACUUUGCCCAUUCCGGACCGACUGAGAGAUCCGUUCUCCCUCUCAGAUCAACUCUCACAAGUUCCCUCUUGCCAUCACAUACACAUACUGAACUAGUCCCAACACCCGCAGGUGGAAAGACCCGAUACACUGAUGAUAUCCUCGAACAUCUCCCAAGAUGAACCACUACAUCCACCCUACACUCUGAUCAGAUUCACACUGAGAAUUUAAAAUUUUCUCUCUCCAUGCAUCCCUUCUGAGCCUCAACAGACAUCCCAACCGGAUGGGUUCCUACUCCACUGCCGCGAACACGAUGCUCAAAACCAUACUCGAAAUACUCUAACCAUAACUCUGCUCUGCAGCUUUCACUUUCGUGAACUUGCACCCCCUUCGGAGUUACAUACCCUCCUCUUUUCCUUUUCCACGGAACUCUCUUGAACAUAAUGCCACUCCAACCGGUGCCACGGUGCUCGCCCCAAGCGACACCACCCUUUUUGCGUAACUGCUAUCCACAUACUCUGGUUCUCAUUGCAGGGGCUCUCAAUCCCAUGCACUCUCUCCACUCAUCAAAAUCACUGCCUCCGCUAAACAAGAUCAAUAACCCGGGGCCAGACCUUCCAAUGCAAUCACACUGCAACAUACGCGAUCCGCAAAUCUCAAACUAAUCCAGCAAUACCAACAGAGUCUCCAGUAUGACUGGACCGACUCUCAUAACACAUACUAGCCACUCGAGGCUAUAUCUCUGUGGGUCCGUACACCCAAACUCUGCGAACCCUCAGGUUCUAACUCUGGGAACCUUCCGGUUCCAGCUCUAGAAACAUGCACAACAUAAUCCCGUGGGAUUAAUGCAGUACAACCCAUCACGUACCUCAAACGUACCAAUACUCUGAUCGCAAAAUUCCGAUUACUUACUCAAGCUUGAUCCCGACCUCCUCUCAGGCCUCCACAAUCAAAUGCCCUAGGUCUGUAUCUCGCCCCGCAUACUCAACACUCGCUCUCGUCGGCCUAUACUUUGCGCUGACAAACACUGCUGAAUCCCAACAGCUAAGCACCCUUACAUACUCAUCGAUCUCCCGGAGAAUUUUACAAUUCUCCCCCACUAAAGCACUGACUAACUGCCACCGGUCGUCAUUAACGACCUUACAGAACAAUCCUGUACAAAGAGAACAAUUACACACUGACUGCUUCCCACAAGCACAAGCAACCCUCAGCAAAACACACCUCCUCCCUGAUCAACCCACUCACAAGAAUCUAGUCCUUCAAUCAUCCACUCCACGACUGUAGAUGCUACCCGACAAUCAACCCAGUGCCGCAUCUCCCCUAACAACCCCCACGAACGAUAACCAAAGGAAUCCUCGACAAUAACCCAUAACCAAACUCACAAUCUGCCCAAAGGAUGAACACCACAUCGAAAACCGCACAAGACUACUGACACUAAAACACCAAUUAUAACCAUACCCAACCAUCAGGGAAUAACGAAUGCCAAAGCGAAAACCUGAAGCACCAAUCCAUAACCAUGCCAGACCCGCGAAACAACGAAUACCGCAUCGAAAUCCAUACAAGAUACCAGCACAAACAAUACGCCAAAUCAAUGCCAGACAAUUAAGACAUCAUGAAAGCAUCAUACCCGCAGCUGUCUCCGGCACUGCUCCGUCUCCCUCUGUCGCACGCAGAUAAACACGACCCUGAGCCCUCUGGGGCUCCGCUUCAUCCUGUCCUCCUCAAAUCCCGAAUUGGCACUGACUGCCAACUAUCCCGUGCACAGUGCCCCUCCUUUCCGCACUUGCGGCAUGCACCAUUGGGCCAACAAGCUCCGGUGCCAUCUCUCUCACACUUCCCACAAGUGUGACCGCUCCGAUCCCCCAUUUCAACGUCUACGGUCCUGAACCGUUUCGGCGCCGACUGCGACUGCAUCGGGGCCUGUCCCAGCUCACGCAACUGCAACUUAACCUCUAACUCACGCCACAUGGCGGCCUUCUGCAACUCCAACAGGGUCUCGCACCUCCGCGCAGACACGAACUGUCUGAUACCCCCUUGAGCUUACUCGAAUAUCGGGCAUCUGAGCCUGCUCCGAAGCGAACUCAGGGCAAAACAUCGCCCUCUCAAUAAACAUCCCGGUGCUCUCAGUCACCGACUCCAAAUCCUGCUUCAGCUUAAGGAACUUCCGAGCCAAUUUCUCCUUUUCAUCCCGCGGAACAUAGCGAGUACUGAACAUCCCUCUGAAUUGAUCCCAUGAAACCGCAGCCCUCUGCGCAUCGGAAAAUGACCUCGUGGUCAAUCUCCACCAAUCCUUCGCCCCGAGCCUCAAUAGGUUCAGAGCACACCCCACCCUCUGAUCAGCAGGGCAUAAACUCGUGGAGAAACACCCCUCCAUGUCUGAUAACCAUCUCAUAGCAACAAUCGAGUCCUGAACUCCAUCGAAUGUGGGAGGCUUCGCAUAAUAGAAGUCCCGAUACUGAAAACCCCGACUAGCCCCUUUCUUUGCCGUUGCUACAGCCGCUGUAACCGCCGCGGCAGCCGUCUCUGCGAAAGCCGCAUAUCGCUCAUCAAACUACUUCAAUCAUAGUGGUCCUGAUCGACCCAAACAAUUCUGGCGACUCAGCCCGCAACAAUGCAGCAACCUCAUCACGCCGGAUCUCGCGAAUCCUCGCAUCCCGCUCGCUCGUGCUCGUCCGAUCGAUAACCGGAUAACAAGAUAGCCACAAGCAUCAUCCACUACGAACCAUGGUACUCAUCCCAUGACAUCCUUCCUCAACAUGCUUCGGUGUAUGGUACCUGAACCAUAGCACCAUUCCUCAACCUGCUCCAAUGUAUAGCACUCGAACCACAACAUCUAUCUCAAUCUGUUCCGAUGUAUGGUGCCCUGACCAUAACAUCACUCUGUAUCCGCUCCGAUGUAUGGUAUCCGAACCAUAACAUCACCCCUCAAUCUGUUCCUUAGGACCUUCAGAAUGCCCCCUGUAUCAAGUAUGGGUCCUCUGCUUUCAGUAGUACGGGCCCAUACUACCUGCCACAUCUACCCAUACUUUCCACACGGACCAUCCCAGAGUUCCUAAGUAGCUGAUAAACCUGCUCUUUCACCCAUCUCAUCGCGCGUGCUCGCUUUCCAGCGAAAUCCUCUACUCUACCAGCGCACUCAUCUGGCUAGGUUUACUCCCUAGUCCCUUCCGCUGUCCUCCCACUUCUUUGCUAUCAGCUGCUGAAGAGUUCCUAAUGAUGCCAGCCCUCUACCUCCUGAGUAUCGUCAUACUCACUUAGUAGCUGACUCCCAUCAUCGAUAACUCCACAAAGCACAAAGCAAGCAGCAUUCGAGCAUUGAAGCAUACAUAGGACUCCCCAUCUGUGGUAGCUCCACCUUCUCGGCUCAUCCUCGGAAGUACCUCUGUACCCCGUAGCUUUACCCCUUGUGCGUUCUAACUAGAUACUCUCACUCAUCACAUACACACAAAAGCAUAACGCACAUAUAACAGCAAACCCUAGACUAAGGCAUCACAAAUCAGGCCACUCUAGUCCUAAGAUGUGAAAUACCUAGCCUGUCUCUAGCAUGCAAUAAUGUCUCAUAAAGUGCAUAAUAGAUAUUUCAUAAUACAAAAGUAAGGGUAUUUUGGGAAAUCACCGUUUGGCUCUGGCUGAUUGUACACACUGCUCUUUCUUGCUUUCUCUUUGAACUCUUAUUCACUUUUAGAAAACCAUUUAUUUGGAAAACUUUUUCUUACUUCCUCAGUUUGAGUCCAGAUUUACCCGUAGGCGCGUCCGAAUCCCUCAAACCAAGGCUCUGAUACCAAUUUGUAACACCGUGAUUUCCAAAAACAAAAUUUUCAUUUAAAUAAUCAAUUUAAUAUUAAAAACACUUGUUUAAAAUCUUAUUCACAUUCGAAUUACAAAACAUAGUUUCAUUUUCAUUAUAAUAGAAGACCAGGAUCCUCCAAAACACAACUCUUUCUUCGGUGUGUACAAUCGAACCGUUGCCAUCCCGCGUUACUGUAAGAACCUGAAACAACAUAACAUAAACAACGUAAGCA